AGACUCUUAAGAUAAGGUUUUAGUCUAUAAGUGUUCAAUACUUAAGGUGGGGGUUCUCAGAGUCUG
rnacentral:tRNA from 1 species